rnacentral:misc_RNA from 1 species
AAGUCGUAACAAGGUCUCCGUUGGUGAACCAGCGGAGGGAUCAUUACAGAGUUAUCUAACUCCCAAACCCAUGUGAACUUACCUUUGUUGCCUCGGCAGAAGCUACCUGUACCUACCUGGAACAGCCUACCUGGAGCAAUCCGGGCCGGCCUACCUGGAACGGUCUGGUGGUCGACUGCCGGUGGACCAUUCAACUCUUGUUAUUUUAUUGUAAUCUGAGCGUCUUAUUUUAAUAAGUCAAAACUUUCAACAACGGAUCUCUUGGUUCUG